AGAUUACUCCCUCCGUCCCAAAAUUCUUGUCUUAGAUUUGUCUAGAUACGGAUGUACCUAAUACUAAAACGUGACUUGAUACAUCCAUAUUUAGAUAAAUCUAAGACAAGAAUUUUGGGACGGAGGGAGUCUCUA
rfam:Triticum aestivum genome assembly, contig: Triticum_aestivum_CS42_TGACv1_scaffold_423353_5BS